AAGGCUGGAAUGCAUCUGUGUCCAAAGCUCCGGCGCCCGAGGAUGAGUCUGCGGCCUAUCAGGUAGUAGUCAGGGUCACGACCUGACUAGCCAGCGACGGGUACGGGCCUUGAGAGAGGUCGCCCGGAGAUGGACUCUGAGACACGAGUCCAGGCCCUACGGGGCGCAGCAGGCGCGAAAACUUCGCAAUGCAGGAAACUGUGACGAGGGAACUCCAAGUGUCCAUGCAUUGCAUGGACUGUUUACCAGCCUAAAAAGCUGAUAGAGUAAGGGGUGGGAAAGACCGGUGCCAGCCGCCGCGGUAACACCGGCACCUCAAGUGGUAGCCACUAUUAUUGGGCCUAAAGCGUUCGUAGCCGGCUUGGUUAAUUCCUGGGUAAAUCGUACCGCUUAACGGUGCGGAUUCCGGGGACACUGCCAGGCUUGAGACCGGGGGAGAUCAGAGGUACUUGCGGGGGAGCGGUGAAAUGUUGUAAUCCCGCAGGGACCACCAAUGGCGAAGGCAUCUGAUCAAAACGGCUCUGACGGUGAGGGACGAAACCCUGGGGCGCAAACGGGAUUAGAUACCCCGGUAGUCCAGGGCGUAAACGC
rnacentral:rRNA from 1 species